UUACAAAUUACGGCUUCUAUGGAAAAUGUAGAGGGUAUUUUUGCAAAUAUUUAGAUUGAGAUGACAUAAAUUAGAAGGUUAUUUGUAAAUGGUGAGGAGUAUUUUGCAAAUAUUUGGAUGUCGAUCAAUAGUCGUGAUUCAAAUUAGGGGUUAUUUGUAAAAUCAUCUAGGGGUAUUUUCAAAAUUCCGAAUCAGCAUCCAAUCCUCCGUCGCGGCUUGCCGGAGCGCCGUCGCCUGGCGGCGGCCGUCCCGUGGGUACGCCUUCUUCCUUGUGCCUAUCUCGCAUCCGCCCUAGCUCUCGUGUACCGGGUACUCUCUCGCCUCUAAGCGGCAGCGGUAGAGCGAGGGAUUCCCGGAGAUGCCGCCGGCGGCGGCGGCACAGGACGCAGCCAGCCCUCGUCGUGCUCGGCCGCCGCCUUCUUCGAGCAGGCGUAGCAGAUCCUCGUGCAAUCGUGCCUAGGGCCACCGGCUUUAGGAUUCAAUCAGAACACUUCCAGUUCCCGAACAAUAACACAAGAACCAAGAAUCUCUUGCUGUAAGUUACAAUGCAUCGAGGAAACAGAUAAACAUUUUUUCUGUUAUGUUGCGGCAACCACAGCUGUUGUUGCAGCCGAGGACGAAAAGCGCCAUGCCUUCCUCACCGCUCCUCGUCGCUUGUGACAACAAUUGAAGCAUGGUGGCUAUCAGGGCCUGAACUCUGAACCAAGUGAAGAAGACAGAAAUGAUGCUGACCGGGAAGCCUCACCGUUCUCGCAGGACUUGGUGCGGGGCAGCGUGGGGGACGGAGGUGACGUCCUUGAAGGCUUGAAGAGAACCUCAGUGAACUCGUUGGCGGCGGCGUGGUCCACCGUCCACCAUGUUCCGGACUUCCGGUAUACGCAGUUGCUGUCGGUCAUCUCCCACAGAGUGCAGAAUUUCAGAAACUAUGUGCAGGGUCAUCACAAGCUCACAACGAGAAAGCAGAGUCACCUGGAGGAACCUGGUGGAAGACAAGAUAUCUUUCUUAGUCACAUAGCACAGUUACUAUCAGAGCUAGUAUCAAGGAGGAUGCAUGAGGUACUGUGUUCCUUUCAAUCCAAGCAAAAUCCGUUAAAACUUACAAUUACAAGAAGACAAUGGCAGAUGAGUGCAUUCCGUGGCACCUUUAUUGGACA